rnacentral:lncRNA from 1 species
AAUAAUAUGUGCAUCAGCAAAACACAUUAUACUCGGUAAUAUCCAAAAAUAUGUUUACGAUCUUACGUUGCAAAAUUCCUACAACUCAUAAAGUCACGCUUUUUCUCCUUCAAUAUGCCAGCUCACAAAUCAGUUACAAUUCUCACACACUUGAAGGGAUCUAUAAGAUAUUUCACACGAAUUUGAAUAAAAAAGUUCUCUUAUAUAAAGACAUCCUGACUCACUCUAAAGAAAAGGAGAAAAAUGGCAGUGAAAUGCUGACGAAUUCUCUCUGCGAACCCAGUUAGAUCUGAGCGAAAGUUAUACAAAGAAGAAGAAGAAAGGCAAAUGAAGAAGAAGAAAUAGAGCAAGCCAAGAUUAGAAGAAACAAAGCACUCACCAUACUCAUUGAAACUUUUGAAUUUCGGUAGAUCUUUGUUGAUUUCAACUUGUUAUUCAACUGUUGUUUUAAUUUUUCUGCUUUGUUUUUCCAUUUUCCGUCGAUAUGCAUUUUGUAUAGUGUGAUCAUAUGAUAAAAUAUUGAAAGAGGUGUGCUAGGGUUUCAAAAGGGUGCAAAAAUAGGUUUGGAUCUAUGUUUGCUUGUGUGUUUUCAUGAUUUUUGUGUGCUAGGGUUACUCAAUUUUUUUUCUUUUUCUUUGCCAAGGAUUUCUUGGGAUAAUGCAUGGCCGGUUUUGAGAUGGGCCGAUCGCCCCUUUGUCUCCCUCCGUUCUUUUUAAUAUUU